CACCUGCACCUUCCAAGAAUUUGGUCGUACUACGAUGACACAUCAGAUGACAUCCAUGAAAUUGCCUCAUGUUUCUUUGAUGUGGCCAGAUACUUUCAAGUUACCUUUAUUAUGAGGACUAGAAACAUUUCUGUAGUGAGAACUCACAUUCUUGGACAAAAGCUGGAAAAGAGCUGGAAACUAAAGUAAGUUUUCCAUUGUCAAUGAAUAUGCUUCCGGAACAAAUUUGUAUAGUCUUUGGCUUCAAGCGUCCAAAAUUUUCCAGAAGCAAAGGGUAGUGUUUACUGUGUUUUCUAUACGAGAUGGAAAGCAAAUGUCCAUGUUGCUUGGUUGAUAGUCAUAAUACUGAAAACUUUAAACACAUUACAGAGCUCGUUUAACUGGAAUACAUAAAAUAAGGGUACUAAAUCACCACAUGAACUCCAAAUAAUGUUGUGUGAUACACAAUGGUAUCUCCUGGAUUUUAGCACCUAUGAUGAAAUACUAGUCCCUGGAUCCAGGAAGAAGUAUGCUUUAAUAAAUAUAAGACAUAACAUGGUUAUUUCCAGAAGGCCAUAUACUUCUCAGGACCAGGUUACUAUAUUCCUUAUACACCCAGUAGAUCACAAUGGUCUGUAGGAGAGUUUCUCCUCCCAGUUUCAAAGAUUUCAGAAGCGCACUCUGCAGUAACUCAAGAGCAGGGCUUUUAGUGUGGCUGCUCCUGUUCUGUAGAAUAGCAUUCCUGUCAAGAUAGGUAGGACAAGCACUAUUUGCCCUUUCUGGGAAAGAUUGAAAAAUACAUUUUUGUUCUGAUAGGCUUUCCCAGCUGGAUAAAUGGGUAUUUACCCUGACUGUCCACUUGUUAAGAGAUUUAGUCUUAUUUUAAUUGUACUUGUUUUUGUGUUUUUAACUUUUUAAUUAUGUAUAAAUUGCCUUGAAACAGUGGUUUACAAGGUGAUUAUACUGAUAAUACUAAUAAUCCUCUGUACACUACUUUGCUUGGUGUUUGUUUUUAUUUCUGCUGACUGCUUAUAUGCUGCUCUGCUGUAUCAUGAUGUAGGAAUGUUUUUGUUUUAAUAGUCUUACUGUGAUUAUUUAAUCUUUCUGUAAGUUGCCCAGGUAAGCUGUUAAAGGAUGGGUGUAAAUCAAAUAAAUACAAUGCAAUACAA